GACGAACGCUGGCGGCGCGCCUAACACAUGCAAGUCGAACGGAGCUGAGAGAAGCUUGCUUUUCUUAGCUUAGUGGUGAACGGGUGAGUAACGCGUGAGUAACCUGCCCUGGAGUGGGGGACAACAGUUGGAAACGACUGCUAAUACCGCAUAAGCCCACGAUCCGGCAUCGGAUUGAGGGAAAAGGAUUUAUUCGCUUCAGGAUGGACUCGCGUCCAAUUAGCUAGUUGGUGAGGUAACGGCCCACCAAGGCGACGAUUGGUAGCCGGACUGAGAGGUUGAACGGCCACAUUGGGACUGAGACACGGCCCAGACUCCUACGGGAGGCAGCAGUGGGGGAUAUUGCACAAUGGGGGAAACCCUGAUGCAGCGACGCCGCGUGGAGGAGGAAGGUUUUCGGAUUGUAAACUCCUGUCGUGAGGGACGAUAAUGACGGUACCUAACAAGAAAGCACCGGCUAACUACGUG
rnacentral:rRNA from 1 species